GGAAGGAUGACCGAGUGGUUAAGGUGUGUGACUCAAGAUUCAGUUCUUUCUUGCUUAGUAAGCGAGGUUUCUCAUGGGCCUAGCCCGCGGGGGUUCGAAUCCCCCUCCUUUCA
rnacentral:tRNA from 1 species